rnacentral:lncRNA from 1 species
UUUUCUUAAACGUGUGUCUACUAGACUGUGAUUUAUUGUUCCAUUCGCUUGCUGUUGCUACAUCAUUGUCUCCAACAGACGAUGCCGAGUGGUCCUCAAUUAUUGAAGAGUGAUAAUAACUUGUGGCGAGGUCCCAUCUGUUCCUCGUAUCGCCCCAAAGGAGUCAUAACAGUCGUAUCAUCGCCCAGUGGGAACCCAGCAUCAACUAAGGCUGACCCCCGCAGCAGUGUCUCCGUCCAUAGCAGUCAGGCGAGCGCACCCAUGCUUCUAUAUUUAAACUACAAAGCGAG